UGAGAUUCCAGGCUACUAUUCCUUUGAAAUUCUGGGGAGAGUGUGUAUCUACUGAUGUUUAUUUGAUCAACAGACUUCCCUCAAGAGUUAUUGGUGAAAAAUAUUAUUUUGAGAUGCUUUAUUUACAUGCUCCAUCUCUCUCAAACCUCAGAGUGUUUGGUUGUUUGUGCUAUGCAACCUCACCCAAGGAACUUGACAAGUUUGCUUCAAGAGUAGUACCUGGAGCAUUUCUGGGCUAUUCUUCAACUCAGAAGGGCUACAAAGUCUAUGAUCUACCCUCGAAAACCUUUAUUGAGUAGAAAUGUGGUAUUUAAAGAACACAUUUUCCUUUUUAACACCUACAAACCACUGGCACUCCCAUGUUUCCUUGAGUAGAAAUUUGGUACUUAAAGAACACAUUUUCCUUUUUAACACCUACAAACCACUGGCACUCCCAUGUUUCCUGUUCUAGACCUGGUGCCUUCUAACACAGAAAUGUUGUCUUUCCCUGAACCUUACGAUCCUCCUUUGUCUCCUGCUUCAUCUCAGAGUCCAACUAUGGACACAUUCCCAACUGAUGCACCACAUAUUCCCCAUCAUUUAGAGGAACCCACUUCUUUAGGCUACUCUCCUUCUGUUGUUGAGCCUAGUGUUCCAGACUCUUCACAGGCUCCUUCCAUGAACCUUAGAAGAUCAUCAAGACCUAGCAAACCACCCUUAUGGCUGCAAGAUUAUGUGACGCAACCAGUGAAAUCUCAUACGUGUGUAUAUCCUAUUUCCUCAUGUGUGUCUUAUGACACUCUCAAACCAGCUCAUAUACAUGCUCUCUCAUCCUACUCUUCUCUCAUAGAACCAAAAUCCUUCGGAGAAGCAGCUACAAACCCUAAGUGGAUUAAAGUUGUGAAACUUGAAAUAGCUUCCCUAGAAGACAACCACACAUGGAGUAUUGUGGACCUUUCUACAGGGAAAACACCUAUUGGAUGCAAUUUAAUUUUCAAGAUAAAGUUCGAG
rnacentral:lncRNA from 1 species